UUGACAGUAGAGCUAGAACGAACAUAGGAGGUACGAUACGAAGCGCCAAAGCUUUCUCAAGCAACUUCCAAGCUAUAGGAUCAUUAUUAUCCCAACAAAUAUGAGAAACAAGAAGGUUAGCAACGUCGGUAGAAGGCAAGGAGUGUCCGGCAGAGUUGAGAGUCGAAGAAAGUUGCAUUGCCCACAUCAAAGGAUCAGUGCCUUUCAACUGAGCCAACUUAGUAAGUUCAAUCACUCCGUCCCAUAGACUCGACUGUUUUCCGGUCACCAUAGCCAUAGAGAAUUCAACGGUCGCCGGAGAAACCUAGGGUUUAGCUAGAUCUGAAAAUCGGUCAUGAACAGUGAAGAGCUUAAACUGGCGGAAGG
rnacentral:misc_RNA from 1 species